rnacentral:lncRNA from 1 species
UUAAAUGAGUCAUGUGUUCUUACAGGGACACAAUUUGGACUAGAAUUCCUGAAGCAAAGGUUAAAAGAAGAAAUUUUUGAGGAUUUUCAUGGGCAAGAUACAUCUGGACUUACGGGACUCAAUUACACAAUUUUUAAGAUAAGAUUUGAGACUGUUGAAUUUCCCAAUGCAUCCGUGUCUCUCAAAUCUGGUAAUGAGAUUAAACUACUGAUUAAAGAUGCUUCAGCAACUCUCACUGCAGAUUGGAAACUGAAGACUUGGCUGUUAAGUUCCGGAAAACUGACUGUCUUCAUUUCUGGAGUGUCUGUCACAGCGGUUGCAACAGUAUCACAGGAUGAGACAGGUCGGCCAAUUCUGUUGCUUGAAAGCUGCCAGGGAAGUGUUGAUGGUAUUGAUAUUCAACUGGAUCAGUCAUCUAGGUAUAUUAGAUGAAAAUUUUUCUAAGUUCUAAAUGAAUUAGUCAAUGAUAUAAAGCCCAUAUUUCCAGAUGGAAUACGUAUGUACUACAGUGGUGCCUUGAGUUCUGAACUUAAUCCGUUCCGGUAUGAUGGUCAUAACUCAAAGCACCAUUUCCCACAGGAAUACAUUGAAAUGCAAUUAAUCUGUUCCGGCUGUUUUUAAAGGUUAAAAAAGGGCAGUAGAGGAGAGAGGAAGGGAGGGAACAAUGGAGAAAAGACGAAGGAAAGAAGGUCAUCACUGGGGUACACAGACCCCUCAGACAAAGGUUUGUGCUUUUAAGCACAAAAAGAGAGAGGAUAGAGAGAGAGAGAAGACAAUGGGGGUGGGCAGAGUUUGGAGUUUAAAACAAACAAACAAAAAAAC